CACUCCUACGGGAGGCAGCAGUGGGGAAUUUUGGACAAUGGGCGAAAGCCUGAUCCAGCCAUGCCGCGUGCAGGAUGAAGGCCUUCGGGUUGUAAACUGCUUUUGUACGGAACGAAACGGCCUUUUCUAAUAAAGAGGGCUAAUGACGGUACCGUAAGAAUAAGCACCGGCUAACUACGUGCCAGCAGCCGCGGUAAUACGUAGGGUGCAAGCGUUAAUCGGAAUUACUGGGCGUAAAGCGUGCGCAGGCGGUUAUGUAAGACAGUUGUGAAAUCCCCGGGCUCAACCUGGGAGCUGCAUCUGUGACUGCAUAGCUAGAGUACGGUAGAGGGGGAUGGAAUUCCGCGUGUAGCAGUGAAAUGCGUAGAUAUGCGGAGGAACACCGAUGGCGAAGGCAAUCCCCUGGACCUGUACUGACGCUCAUGCACGAAAGCGUGGGGAGCAAACAGGAUUAGAAACCCGUGUAGUCCC
rnacentral:rRNA from 1 species